UCGGCCCGGGGAAUUCAACUUACCGUCUGGCGNCGGUCUGCGUGAUUCUGGAUCCGCAAUAGACCUGCACGUAGUUCGGCCGCCACCGGUGUGUGCACUUUCCUCGGGUAGAGCGCCACGACCGGUUUUCCGGCGUCAGAAGCCGGUGUGGAAGGUGACCACCUCUUCGGAGUGGGUGUGUUAUAGCCACGCCGCGUUGGCUCGCUGGGAGACCGAGGAACUGCCGUGCCUGCCUGCCUUCGGCUGUCGUUGUUCGAUCAAAUUGAGUAGACUGCUUGCAGUGUUCUCUAAGCGCGGAUGGCGAUCGGCUGGAGCGCACAAGGUACUUCGGGUCAGUGGCGAAUCGGUCGGCCCUCCACCCGACCCGUCUUGAAACACGGACCAAGGAGUCUAACAUGUGCGCAAGUCAUGGGAAUUUACGAAACCUANAAAGGCACAAUGAAAGUGAAGGCAGCCUCGGGUUUGCCUAGGUAGGAUCCUUCCUUCCGGGGGGAGGCGCACUACCGGCCCGUCUCGUCCGCAUUGUCGGU
rnacentral:rRNA from 1 species